UACGUAGGGGGCAAGCGUUGUCCGGAAUCAUUGGGCGUAAAGAGCGUGUAGGCGGCCCGGUAAGUCCGCUGUGAAAGUCCAGGGCUCAACCCUGGGAUGCCGGUGGAUACUGUCGGGCUCGAGUCCGGAAGAGGAGUGUGGAAUUCCCGGUGUAGCGGUGAAAUGCGCAGAUAUCGGGAGGAACACCAAUUGCGAAGGCAGCUCGCUGGGACGUCACUGACGCUGAGACGCGAAAGCGUGGGGAGCAAACAGG
rnacentral:rRNA from 1 species